rnacentral:rRNA from 1 species
CAGGCCUAACACAUGCAAGUCGAGGGGUAACAGGUAGAAAGCUUGCUUUCUAUGCUGACGACCGGCGCACGGGUGCGUAACACGUAUGCAACCUACCUGUUACAGGGGGAUAGCCCCGAGAAAUCGGGAUUAAUACUCCAUAGUUUAUUAGUAAGGCCUCUUACAAAUAAUAAAGAUUUAUCGGUAACAGAUGGGCAUGCGCAACAUUAGCUAGUUGGUAAGGUAACGGCUUACCAAGGCAACGAUGUUUAGGGGUUCUGAGAGGAUCGUCCCCCACACUGGUACUGAGACACGGACCAGACUCCUACGGGAGGCAGCAGUGAGGAAUAUUGGGCAAUGGGCGCAAGCCUGACCCAGCCAUGCCGCGUGCAGGAAGACGGCCCUAUGGGUUGUAAACUGCUUUUAUAUAGGAAGAAACGUUGUAACUUGUUAUAAUUUGCCGGUACUAUAUGAAUAAGCAUCGGCUAACUCCGUGCCAGCAGCCGCGGUAAUACGGAGGAUGCAAGCGUUAUCCGGAUUCACUGGGUUUAAAGGGUGUGUAGGCGGAAUAAUAAGUCAGUGGUGAAAAGCUUGGGCUCAACCGAAGUCGUGCCAUUGAUACUGUUAUUCUUGAGUGCAAAUGAGGUGGGCGGAAUGUGCCAUGUAGCGGUGAAAUGCUUAGAUAUGUCACAGAAGGCCGAUUGCGAAGGCAGCUCACUAAGAUGUAACUGACGCUGAUGCACGAAAGCGUGGGUAGCGAACAGGAUUAGAUACCCUGGUAGUCCACGCUGUAAACGAUGAUCACUCGAUGUAUGCGAUACACUGUAUGUGUCUAAGCGAAAGCGAUAAGUGAUCCACCUGGGGAGUACGAUCGCAAGGUUGAAACUCAAAGGAUUGACGGGGGCCCGCACAAGCGGAGGAGCAUGUGGUUUAUUCGAUGAUACGCGAGGAACCUUACCUGGGCUUAAAUUCAUAG